rnacentral:rRNA from 1 species
CAGUAGCCGCGGUAAUACGAAGGGUGCAAGCGUUAAUCGGAAUUACUGGGCGUAAGGCGUGCGUAGGCGGUGAGUUAAGUCUGCUGUGAAAUCCCCGGGCUCAACCUGGGAAUUGCAGUGGAUACUGGGUCACUAGAGUGUGGUAGAGGAUAGUGGAAUUUCCGGUGUAGCAGUGAGAUGCGUAGAGAUCGGAAGGAACAUCUGUGGCGAAGGCGACUAUCUGGGCCAACACUGACACUGAGGCACGAAAGCGUGGGGAGCAAACAGGAUUAGAUACCCCUGUAGUCCCUGUCUCUUAUAC